rnacentral:misc_RNA from 1 species
UGUGAUGAUAGAGUAGGUGUGGCUAGAAAUGAGGGACGAGGGUGAUAUAUAGGGAAGCUAAAACAUUUUUAGAAAAAGGUGGGGUUGGGUGGGAGCGUUCCCACCGACCUUCCCUAUUACGCGUCAAGUUCGAGAGAUUGAAAUUACGAAGACAGUGAGUGGCCGCGUGGCUUGAGUCUCCCUUCUAGUGCUGACCUGGCUCUCUCUGACUGGGUCCAUCAGAGAGAGGCCGGUGGGGUCUACUGUUUUUAUUAUUAACGGAGUUAGAAA